UGGGGAAUUUUGGACAAUGGGCGAAAGCCUGAUCCAGCAAUGCCGCGUGUGUGAAGAAGGCCUUCGGGUUGUAAAGCACUUUUGUCCGGAAAGAAAUCCUUGGCUCUAAUACAGUCGGGGGAUGACGGUACCGGAAGAAUAAGCACCGGCUAACUACGUGCCAGCAGCCGCGGUAAUACGUAGGGUGCAAGCGUUAAUCGGAAUUACUGGGCGUAAAGCGUGCGCAGGCGGUUUGCUAAGACCGAUGUGAAAUCCCCGGGCUCAACCUGGGAACUGCAUUGGUGACUGGCAGGCUAGAGUAUGGCAGAGGGGGGUAGAAUUCCACGUGUAGCAGUGAAAUGCGUAGAGAUGUGGAGGAAUACCGAUGGCGAAGGCAGCCCCCCUGGGCCAAUACUGACGCUCAUGCACGAAAAGCGUGGGGAGCAAACAGGAUUAGAUACCCUGGUAGUCCACGCCCUAAACGAUGUCAACUAGUUGUUGGGGAUUCAUUUCCUUAGUAACGUAGCUAACGCGUGAAGUUGACCGCCUGGGGAGUACGGUCGCAAGAUUAAAACUCAAAUGAAUUGACGGGGUCAUAGCUGUUUCCU
rnacentral:rRNA from 1 species